CUGAGCGAAGUGCGAACCUGAAUUGCCCAGUAUGCCCAUGAUCUGCCCACUGUCCACGUGGAAGGAGACAUCACUGAGGAUCUGACGAGUCCAUCGCUUCCUGUAGGAGGAAUCCAAUCAAUCCCCACUGUGAAAAUGAUCAUCAUUUGAUUUGAAACUUUUACCUGACUGUGUAGGAGAUGUUGCUGACACUGAGACAACAGGAGGGCUCUGAUUGCUCUGAUCGCUCCUCUCUAUUGUUCUGCCAUACAUCCCUCUUCUCCUCCAACACAA